GUAGGUGGCAAGCGUUGUCCGGGAUUAUUGGGCGUAAAGCGCGCGCAGGCGGUUCUUUAAGUCUGAUGUGAAAGCCCACGGCUCAACCGUGGAGGGUCAUUGGAAACUGGAGAACUUGAGUACAGAAGAGGAAAGCGGAAUUCCACGUGUAGCGGUGAAAUGCGUAGAGAUGUGGAGGAACACCAGUGGCGAAGGCGGCUUUCUGGUCUGUAACUGACGCUGAGGCGCGAAAGCGUGGGGAGCAAACAGGGAUUAGAUACCCUGGUAGUCCACGCCGUAAACGAUGAGUGCUAAGUGUUAGGGGGUUUCCGCCCCCUUAGUGCUGCAGCUAACGCAUUAAGCACUCCGCCUGGGGAUACGGCCGCAAGGCUG
rnacentral:rRNA from 1 species